rnacentral:rRNA from 1 species
GUGGGGAAUCUUGCGCAAUGGGCGAAAGCCUGACGCAGCCAUGCCGCGUGAAUGAUGAAGGUCUUAGGAUUGUAAAAUUCUUUCACCGGGGACGAUAAUGACGGUACCCGGAGAAGAAGCUCCGGCUAACUUCGUGCCAGCAGCCGCGGUAAUACGAAGGGGGCUAGCGUUGUUCGGAAUUACUGGGCGUAAAGCGCACGUAGGCGGACUUUUAAGUCAGGUGUGAAAUCCCGGGGCUCAACCUCGGAACUGCAUUUGAAACUGGAAGUCUUGAGAUCAGGAGAGGUUAGCGGAAUACCGAGUGUAGAGGUGAAAUUCGUAGAUAUUCGGUGGAACACCAGUGGCGAAGGCGGCUAACUGGACUGAUACUGACGCUGAGGUGCGAAAGUGUGGGGAGCAAACAGGAUUAGAAACCCUUGUAGUCC